rnacentral:rRNA from 1 species
UACGGAGGGUGCGGAGCGUUGUCCGGAAUCACUGGGCGUAAAGGGCGCGUAGGCGGCCUGGCAAGUCGGUGGUGAAAGCCCGUGGCUCAACUACGGGUCGGCCACCGAUACUGCUAUGGCUCGAGUUUGGUAGAGGCAGAUGGAAUUCCGGGAUGUAGCGGUGGAAUGCGUAGAGAUCCGGAAGAACACCGGUGGCGAAGGCGGUCUGCUGGGCCAACACUGACGCUGAGGCGCGACAGCGGUGGGGAGCAAACAGG